rnacentral:rRNA from 1 species
GGCGCUAUCUGCAGCUGACGGUAGAAUUCCUUCGGGGAUUUGAGAGUAGCGUACGGGUGCGUAACGCGUAUGCAACCUACCUCAUACUGGGAGAUAGCCCGUGGAAACGCGGAUUAAUACCCCAUGGUAAGCGAGAGUGGCAUCACUUCUUUCUUUAAAGAUUUAUCGGUAUGAGAUGGGCAUGCGUCUGAUUAGCUAGUUGGUAGUGUAACGGACUACCAAGGCAACGAUCAGUAGGGGGUCUGAGAGGAUGAUCCCCCACACUGGCACUGAGACACGGGCCAGACUCCUACGGGAGGCAGCAGUAGGGAAUAUUGGUCAAUGGGUGAGAGCCUGAACCAGCCAUGCCGCGUGCAGGAUGACGGCCUUCUGGGUUGUAAACUGCUUUUCUCUGGGAAGAAAAAGGUUCUGCGGAACAAACUGCCGGUACCAGAGGAAUAAGCACCGGCUAACUACGUGCCAGCUGCCG